rnacentral:rRNA from 1 species
UGGGGAAUUUUGGACAAUGGGCGCAAGCCUGAUCCAGCCAUGCCGCGUGAGUGAAGAAGGCCUUCGGGUUGUAAAGCUCUUUCAGCCGGAAAGAAAACUUAUUUGCGAAUAGCGAAUGAGGAUGACGGUACCGGAAGAAGAAGCACCGGCUAACUACGUG